rnacentral:lncRNA from 1 species
ACAUCAUUAGUUACCCCGUAAUAACUACCGUACACAAUGUAUAUGAAUCAUUUUAGAUUUUAGGUGUGUAUGUCGCGAGAUAGUACUCACGACAUUUUUACAUUGCCUAGUAAUGUAGAUCUAGGUCUUAUCGCACAACGAUCCAAUAGUUUUUAACAUUCCUAUCGUACAACAGUUAUACAAUAAUGGCACAGCAAGAAUCAUCCAGUACAACAUCGAGCCAGGCUCG